CACGAAUGACGGCACCAGUAGCAGCCACACUGCAGCAUGCGGAUUACCCUACCUUACAGGAAAUGAGUUUUGACAUGAAGGCAGGGGAGAGAAGAAGAGAAAUCAGACAGUGGCCAAGUCCAGCAGCACAGUUGGACCUGCCUGACUGCCAAACCUGAAUACCCCUCAGGAGGGAGUAACUCCAGGAAGCAAAGAGAAGGCAAAGUAACAAGAAUAAAAGAUGACACUGCAGACCAGCAAGGGAAAAGAAUGUACAACACCCAAUUUGCCAUGCUUUACUGCACUACACUGUCCCUCUGUGAAGGUGACUUACUCCCAGCUAUUAGGUAAUGUACUGUCUGUGUAGAAUAAGACAUUAAAACGGCAUAGCUACGUACUGUUAAUUUAAACUUCAAAACAUCAGCUUGUUGGGUAUCAGGCACUGUAGUAAGCAGCCUCUGUUGCCUGGCCAACACUAUUUAUUUAUGCUCUUGUUUUGAAGCAGGACUGGGGCUGUUUCAGAUUUGGCUCUCACAGGUACUGUUAGUUUCUGUUGCUACAGCCUCAGUGACCGUGUCCAAUUUCUUAACCUUCAUCAGCUUUCAUUGAGCCCUCAUGACAUGCACUUUUCUCACAUGAAAUGCUUUUCACUGUUCAUCAUACUCUCUGAGGUAACCCUUGCUUAUCAGUCCUGGCUCUUCCAGCAUUUCCCCUUCCCAUCCGCCCUUCCUUCCUCCAUGCAUGGACAGCUGAUAUACAAA